rnacentral:rRNA from 1 species
CCCAAAGGUUCCCUCAGAAUGGUUGGAAAUCAUUCGCAGAGUGUAAAGGCACAAGGGAGCUUGACUGCGAGACCUACAAGUCGAGCAGGGACGAAAGUCGGGCUUAGUGAUCCGGUGGUUCCGCAUGGAAGGGCCAUCGCUCAACGGAUAAAAGCUACCCCGGGGAUAACAGGCUUAUCUCCCCCAAGAGUCCACAUCGACGGGGAGGUUUGGCACCUCGAUGUCGGCUCAUCGCAUCCUGGGGCUGUAGUCGGUCCCAAGGGUUGGGCUGUUCGCCCAUUAAAGCGGUACGCGAGCUGGGUUCAGAACGUCGUGAGAC